CUAGGCUUUCGAGAUUUAUCCACUUGACCUACAGUUGCGUGGAUUUUUGUCGAGCAUUUUGGUUAUGAUGUUAAUCUUAGUUUCAGAAUUUAAUCUUUCGUUAACUUUCAUUGUAUUUUAAUACCGAUUAAUUUUCCAAAGUCGACUUCUUGAUGCAGCAAAUCAAUCAAAGAGGACCCUCUACUAAUUCUUCUUCUUAGCAUUCCCUCUUAGCAUUCCAAUAUGUUACAAGUAAGAUACAGUUUUUAGUCUUCAUUUCCAAGCUAGCCAUCCCACAAACUAAACUUUUGCUUUUGAAUCAUGAUUUUGGGUAAGCAAUUAGAAAGGAAAGCAAUUAUAUCUCCAGUGUUUACUGUUAUCAUGUCCUGCAAGCUUGGUCUAAGCUCUCAGUUCUAUGCAGGUCUUGCAAGCUUGCGUCGAUUUGAAGGCUUGGGAGCUCUCUGCGAGAUUUUCAAUGCCAUUUCAAUGAAGCCCUUGAGAAGAAGAUGUAUUGAGUUAUUCUGUUCUGUAGGUAGAUAUGACGGCAAUUUACAAUCUGUUCAUUGAAUAGUUGAAUGCUACAAACAAUACUUAUAGCACUAGCCUUAUAAAAUAGAAAUGAUACUUUUGAAAUCGAUUAGUUUAUGAUAGAGAAUCCAUAUAUAUUACGUACUAA